AUGGCAUACAAAAAGUUGAGUGACUUAACUACAAGGGGACAGAACUGGAACAUUCAAGUGAAAGUAAUGAGGAUUUGGGAUUCAGUUAAUCCUACUACCGAUGAGCUUAUUAGCCUAGAUAUGAUACUCAUGGAUGAGCAGGGUGAAACAAUUCAUGCUACUAUAUGGAAGAAUCUAAUAGACACUUUUAAAUCAAAGAUCAAUGAGAAGUCUAUUUAUGGAUUCAGUAAUUUUAAGGUUGUGGAAUCCACAAAAUAUAGGCCAGUGAGCAAUGAAAUUAAAAUAUUUUUUUCAUACAAUACAAAGGUAAAGGAGAUAAAAGGAUCUCAAGAAGUUUUUCCGGACUAUUGCUCCGAGUUUGCUACCAUGGAGACACUUGAAGAAAGGGCAGGAAAAGAUACACAAUGCUCAGAUGUCAUUGGACUUCUAACAAAAAUGAAGCCCGUGGAGACAAGAAUAACAAAAAAGAGCCCACAACCUUCAUAUAUCCGCGAGAUUGAAAUACUAAUGCCGGAGGGUGAUAAAAUCAGAAUCACGUUAUGGGGAAAGUUUGCUUAUUUUUUGACCGAGGAUGUAAUUGGCAGCCAAACUGUCAUUAUUAUUACAUCAACGAUGGUGCAGAGAUUCAAUGGUUUGUGCCUAAAGUCAACCAGUGCCACCAGAAUAUAUAUAGAUCUGGAUAUACCAGAAGCACAAGAACUUCUUGAAAGGGACUCAACACAAGUAACCUUACCAAAAAUGAUGAGUAUAGAUAGAAGUAAUCAGGGAACUCUAGAAGAACAAAUGUUUUACAAGCGGAGAACAUUGCAAGAACUUACUAAAAUGAGGCACGAAAACCGGCAAGACCAGGAUUUUGUGUUCACGACAAUAGCUACAGUAGAUCGGUUGCAAGAAAAUAUUCAAUGGUGGUAUCGUAUUCGACUCCAAAUUAGUGAUCAUACAUCUACUACAAGUUGCACUUUAUUUGACGAGGAGGCUGCAAGAUUGCUUAAUACAUCUGCAUCUGACUUGCUGGACUCACUAGAUGGGAAAACAGAAGAAGCCCCAAAGAUUAUUCAACAAUUAUGUGGAAAAAAAUUAAUAUUUCGAUUCAAGCUCAGUGAUAGUAAUCUCACAUUUGGCACACAAAACUAUGCAGUAAAGAGAACAUUUGUGCCUGAUGAUAGGCUUGAGAUGCUCUAUUUGAACGAUAAAGCCGAGGAGGAAUUGAUGGAUGAUGAUGUAGACACUAUGUUAAUGAAGAAGCAGAACAUGCCAGAUAAAAAGGUGAUUGACUUUUUGACGAUACAAACUUCAAAUUUUAGAGAUGUGUCUUAUUUUGAAAAUGUAUAUGUAUGCAGUCACAGAAUAAUAAAGUUUCACCUUCCUGCAAACUGGUGCCUGUGA
rnacentral:rRNA from 1 species